ensembl:lncRNA MIR99AHG mir-99a-let-7c cluster host gene
GAAAGAGGCACUAGUAGCUCAGGCUAGCAAGGAAGGAAAAAAGAGGAAGUUUCUCUCUGCGUUCUGAUUACACUCUGAAUUCCCUUGUAGUGAGCUUACUUCUCUCCACCCACUUCUUACCAAGAACUCCUUAACUUGAGGGUGAACAACUUAAAGCUUGAUCCUACAGUUACCUGAAAAGUGAUUUGAGUAUUCAUUGAACUGAAAGAACAAAUCGCCUACUUCAGGCGGUGGCAAGCGUAUGGAAAUUAUAUUAGAACUUCAGCAAAGUGCACAGCUGCAUAAUAGAGAAGCCGGCACUCAGAUUGACAGGCAAAUAAGCCAGCUUGUGGAAGGGGCCUCUGGGUGGCAGCUCUGGGCUUUUGGGUGUUGGACAACCAUAGGCAAAACUGAAAUGGAACAGGGGCAGAAAAUAGCACACUUUUACUCUACGCAACUGUUGCUUUUUCAUGAUCUUCAGGAAUUUUACUGGGAUAAUUAUCCAAAUAAAUUGCAAGCAUUCUAUCCAAAUGGAGCUCUUUCUGAGAUGAAGAGAAUUCUCAAUGUCAAGAUUUGAACAAGAAGAGAAUGGAAUACACAAUAUGGACAUCCAUAAAAAUUCAUCAGAGAGCAUUUUACUACUGAGCUGCAAAGGGAAAAACUUAAAAUGGAUAUGAAAAGUGAAGAAAGUGAUCAUAGGAGAAAACCAUUUCAGGUGUCUGAUGAUUUGUGAGCCUCAAGUGACUACUCUGUGGAAUCAUCUGUCCUUGCCUUUGAAUUAGCUUUCCCUAGGCCAUGAGUCAACAUUAGUAGUUUAUACAUCCAAAUUGAUGACAAGAGCACCUCAAAGGCAGCAGCCUCAAGGAGCAGCCAUGGCCCCAGACUUGUCGCACGGAUGCAGAAAACUUAAUGGAGGAGGCUGAGGUCAGAAUGGGAAGAGUUUUUAAAAAAUAAAAAGGGGAGCUAAUAUGUGAGGAA